rnacentral:rRNA from 1 species
GACGAACGCUGGCGGCGUGCUUAACACAUGCAAGUCGAACGGAAAGGCCCUGCUUUUGUGGGGUGCUCGAGUGGCGAACGGGUGAGUAACACGUGAGUAACCUGCCCUUGACUUUGGGAUAACUUCAGGAAACUGGGGCUAAUACCGGAUAGGAGCUCCUGCUGCAUGGUGGGGGUUGGAAAGUUUCGGCGGUUGGGGAUGGACUCGCGGCUUAUCAGCUUGUUGGUGGGGUAGUGGCUUACCAAGGCUUUGACGGGUAGCCGGCCUGAGAGGGUGACCGGCCACAUUGGGACUGAGAUUCGGCCCAGACUCCUACGGGAGGCAGAAGGGGGGAAUAUUGCACAAUGGGCGGAAGCCUGAUGCAGCAACGCCGCGUGCGGGAUGACGGCCUUCGGGUUGUAAACCGCUUUCGCCUGUGACGAAGCGUGAGUGACGGUAAUGGGUAAAGAAGCACCGGCUAACUACGUG